GACGUAGGAUGCAAGCGUUGUUCGGAUUUAUUGGGCGUAAAGCGAGCGUAGGUGGCUAGUUAAGUCUGGUGUUAAAGCUAGGGGCUCAACCCCUGUGUUGCACUGGAAACUGGCUGGCUUGAGGAUGGUAGGGAAGGUGGAAUUCCGAGUGUAGCGGUGAAAUGCGUAGAUAUUCGGAGGAACACCGGUGGCGAAAGCGACCUUCUGGGCCAUUUCUGACACUGAGGCUCGAAAGCUUGGGGAGCAAACGGG
rnacentral:rRNA from 1 species